UACGGGGGGGGGCAAGCGUUGUUCGGAAUUACUGGGCGUAAAGGGUUCGUAGGUGGCCUACUAAGUCAGACGUGAAAUCCCUCAGCUCAACUGGGGAACUGCGUCCGAUACUGGUUGGCUUGAGUUUGGGAGAGGGAUGCGGAAUUCCAGGUGUAGCGGUGAAAUUCGUAGAUAUCGGGAGGAACACCAGUGGCGAAGGCGGCGAUCUGGGAAGAUACUGACGCUGAGGUGCGAAAGCGUGGGGAGCAAACAGG
rnacentral:rRNA from 1 species